rnacentral:rRNA from 1 species
UUGACCUCAAAUCAGGUAGGACUACCCGCUGAACUUAAGCAUAUCAAUAGGCCGGA